GAUGAACGCUGGCGGCGUGCUUAACACAUGCAAGUCGAACGGUGAAGCAGGAGCUUGCUCUUGUGGAUCAGUGGCGAACGGGUGAGUAACACGUGAGCAACCUGCCCCUGACUCUGGGAUAAGCGCUGGAAACGGCGUCUAAUACUGGAUAUGUGAUGUGACCGCAUGGUCUGCAUCUGGAAAGAAUUUCGGUUGGGGAUGGGCUCGCGGCCUGUCAGCUUGUUGGUGAGGUAAUGGCUCACCAAGGCGCCGACGGGUAGCCGGCCUGAGAGGGCGACCGGCCACACGGGGACUGAGCCACGGCCCAGACUCCUACGGGAGGCAGCAGUGGGUAAUAUUGCUCAAUGGGCGGAAGCCUGAUGCAGCAACGCCGCGUGAGGGAUGACGGCCUUCGGGUUGUAAACCUCUUUUAGCAGGGAAGAAGCGAAAGUGACGGUACCUGCAGAAAAAGCACCGGCUAACUACGUGCCAGCAGCCGCCGUAA
rnacentral:rRNA from 1 species